GCCGUCUUAGCAUGCAAGUCGAGCGGCAAUUAUCAGCAAUGGUAACUAGAGCGGCGGACUGGUGAGUAACGCGUGGGUGACCUACCCUUAGGUUGGGGAUAGCCGCUAGAAAUAGCGGGUAAUACCGAAUAUUUUUGCUGUGCUUUGGCAUAGCAAGGAAAGGAGCUUCGGCUUCGCCUGAGGAUGGGCCCGCGUCCUAUUAGCCUGUUGGUGGGGUAAAGGCCUACCAAAGCUAUGAUAGGUAGCCGGCCUGAGAGGGUGAACGGCCACAUUGGGACUGAGAUACGGCCCAAACUCCUACGGGAGGCAGCAGCUAAGAAUAUUCCGCAAUGGACGAAAGUCUGGCGGAGCGACGCCGCGUGGAUGACGAAGGCCGAAAGGUUGUAAAAUCCUUUUGCUACUGAAGAAUAAGCAUGGGAGGUAAUGCCCGUGUGAUGACGUUAGGUAGUGAAUAAGCCCCGGCUAAUUACGUGCCAGCAGCCGCGGUAACACGUAAGGGGCGAGCGUUGUUCGGAAUUAUUGGGCGUAAAGGGUGCGUAGGCGGUUCGGUAAGUCUGGAGUGAAAGCCCGUGGCUCAACCACGGGACUGCUUUGGAAACUAUCGGACUAGAAUCAUGGAGGGGAAGUUGGAAUUCCUGGUGUAGGGGUGAAAUCUACAGAUAUCAGGAAGAACACCGGUGGCGAAGGCGAACUUCUAGCCAAUGAUUGACGCUGAGGCACGAAAGUGCGGGGAGCAAACAGGAUUAGAUACCCUGGUAGUCCGCACUAUAAACGAUGCACACUAUGUGUUGGGCCGCGCGGUUCAGUGCCGAAGCUAACGUGGUAAGUGUGCCGCCUGGGGAGUAUGCCCGCAAGGGUGAAACUCAAGGAAUUGACGGGGGCCCGCACAAGCGGUGGAGCAUGUGGUUUAAUUCGAUGAUACGCGAGGAACCUUACCUGGGUUUGAAUGCAGGGAAUGAUGCAGAGAUGUAUCAGCGUAGCAUACGCCCUGUGCAGUGCUGCAU
rnacentral:rRNA from 1 species